GAUGAACGCUGGCGGCGUGCUUAAUACAUGCAAGUCGAACGAAGCAUCUCGCCCGAUGAUUGACCUAGCUUGCUAGAGAUUGAUUCAACUGAGAUGACUGAGUGGCGGACGGGUGAGUAACGCGUGGGUAACCUGCCUUAUACAGGGGGAUAACAGUUGGAAACGACUGCUAAUACCGCAUAAGCGCACAGUACCGCAUGGUACCGUGUGAAAAACUCCGGUGGUAUAAGAUGGACCCGCGUCUGAUUAGCUAGUUGGUAAGGUAACGGCUUACCAAGGCAACGAUCAGUAGCCGACUUGAGAGAGUGAUCGGCCACAUUGGGACUGAGACACGGCCCAAACUCCUACGGGAGGCAGCAGUAGGGAAUAUUGCACAAUGGGGGAAACCCUGAUGCAGCGACGCCGCGUGAAGGAUGAAGUAUUUCGGUAUGUAAACUUCUAUCAGCAAGGAAGAAA
rnacentral:rRNA from 1 species